rnacentral:lncRNA from 1 species
ACUGUGUGCGAAUACACUGGGGCCAGCUUCGAAGUCUUUUUAACAUUCACUGUGUAAACUCGGCACCAAGCUAGCUUCCCCUGGUUGCUCACAGGCAGGUGGCUGUCCACACCCACUUCUGUGUGGGGGCCUCUGGCGUCACAUUUCACACCCCUGUUCUGUAGGCAUCGGGUUUCAGAUUUGCUGUAUUUGCUUCCGCUGCCACUACCGGUAGAUCAGAAGCUGGGGAGGUGUUUCAACACAUGAUUGUUUUGAAUAUGGUGACUUCCCCAUCUAUCCCUGCCAUGGGUAACAUCCCAGCAGCCUCUUGAUAUCUUUUCCUUACAGCCUUGCUGCUGGGGCUACCUUUCACCCACAUGCAGGCUUACUUGCCUGCACCCCCGGCAUGGCCCAAGAACCAGUUCUCUGAGUUCAGCCAGGACUUCCAAGAACCUAGCACAGCCAGGUCAGCUCCACUGUGUAUGAGUCCUGAACCCGACCCUAGGCCC